rnacentral:rRNA from 1 species
AUGUCGCAAGAACUGGUGCGUACGGCAAUGGCGGCCGCGCCCGGUGAUGUUCCGCCGCCUUUGGCCACUCCUGCUCUUCUUCCGCAGGCCAAAAGGGUUAAGGAAGACCCAAGUUUUCCCCAAGCCUCGCCGGUGGUUCCGGCCAUGACGGCGGAAGACUGGUCCAAAUGGUCCACACUUCCGCCCGACCUCGUCCGCUGCAUCGGCGACUCCCUCCUGUCCACCAACGACCUCGACUGCUACAUUCACUUCCGCGCCGUUUGCCCCGGCUGGCGCGCCGCCGCCGACGACCCCAUGAGCGACACCUCCGACCCCCGCUUCCACCCGCGCCGGUGGAUCGUCCUCAACGAGGACUUCCAGAGCGAAGGGAAGCUGCUCCUGCUGAACACUGACAACGGCCGCUUCGUCCAUAGAAAGCUCCCGCUGCUCAGCGACCACUACGUCGUAGCCACAACUCGCAAUGGCUACUUGGUCCUGGCGGACAAAAGCCCUCCUCACUCUGCAAGCGUCCUCAACCCUCUGACCGGCGUCGUCAUCCGUUUCAUGGCGCCUGUGCCCCCUGAGGUGGGACACGCUGCUGUCUCCCUUGCCAGCUCUGCCCUCGGGCUCACCUUGUUUGGCGACUCAUCUCACAAGAUUUACUCGGCCUAUCCCGACAACAAGAGUUCCGUCGUCCACGAGGCUCAGCAAGCAGCUUAUGUUUUCUUCCGUAAUGCGGUCGUGGGCGGUGUCUACUCAGACACUAUAGGGCAUGCCGUGAUUGUCCGUUUAUGCAGAUCGCUGAUGCCUCCAGAUGCAAACCACCUUUGUUUUCCAGUGGCUUUGGGUAGAGAAAUGCUGCUUGUCGGGACUGCAGAGAGAUCGUUCUUUAUUUUUAAAACAGACAUCGAGUUAAGUAAGCUGGAGGAUGUGGACACCAUCAACAACUAUGCCAUUUUCAUUGGUCAUCAGAGGUGCCUGGCUGUCUAUGCUGAUAAGUUCAUAGGCAUUGAGGCAAACUGCAUCUACUACACUGAAAAUCUGGGUUCGUCCGCUCGUAUAUGCAAGUGCGGCAUCAAGGACAGAAAAGUAGAGAAGAUCUCUGAAACUGCCGAUUUCAUCAAGAAGGACAAGAAGUUUGUCCUCGUUGCUGACCGUCCUUCGACGAUCAUCGACCUUCUCGCCAGCUACACCAUCAACAUCCCGGACUCUCGGCUGGCCUUGCAACAGAUUCCAUAA